UUGUUAAAUAUUGAAUCGUUUAUAGCCAAGUAACAAACUGCAAUUAACUUUGGUUGUACAUGCACAAGAAUUUUAUGAGCUGAGGCAGAAAAACAAAGAUGUAUUGAAUUGCAUUGAAAUUUAUAAUUACAGUUUCCAAGAAAAAAAAUUGAAGCUUUUGACAAUCGAAUUACAGUAGAAGUACACAGCUGAAAGCUGCAUAAUAUCCUAAUCGAAAUGUUAUUUUUCCUAAAAUUUUUCUGAAACUAAAAUACCUCUUCUCUCUUCUCAUGCAACUUCUCUAUGACUACUAAAAAACAGUCAUUCAAGUUUGACAUUACUGUGGUCACUCUUUUAUUGAAGCUGUUUAAUACAUUAUGGUACCUCUUAACUCUAAGGAAAUUAUGAAUACACAUACCUGUCAAGAAAUCUAGUCUAAAGGCAGACUAGGACUACCGAAUUCCAAUGAAUGGUUCUAGUGUGCUCUCCUUUGUAACACAGUUCAGAGCUGCAGUAGCUCAAAAUGAACUCCUUGUGACAGCACAAGGAUUGAAAAUUAAGCAUUUUAACUUAGGAAUACCCAAAUAUUUUAUUUCAGCUGUAAAUAUUUUUUUAGUCUUUUUCAGUUAUUGGGCAUUCAGUCUUGGUCUAACAUACACCCCAAAAAUAUACACAGUAAAAUUUAGGAUUUUAGGUUGUAACAGAAGCAGUUUGUUCUGAUGGUCCGCACUCAUCAAACAAAUAACAUUUAUCCUGGACAAGAAAAAUCACAAAUUAGUAUCCCAAUUUAGAACAAGGGAUCUCCUACACAAAACAAUGUAAGUACAAUGCAGAAGGACUGCUUCCUUCCAAACCUCAAAUCUCUAUCCAAAAAUAAAGGUAUUUUUGAGGACUUUUUUCUAUAACUGCCAUCUAAAAAAAAAAUUUGAAAGUAACAUAAUAAUGAGUCCAUUUCUAUGGAAAUGGUCUUGUUAUUAUUUAAUCAGGCCAGCAUCUAAGUGAUUCAUGAACUGCAGGUUGAAAUUCAAUAAGCAGUUCAUGAAUCUCGAGUUGCGAAAAUGUGAAGGAAAGAAAAUGGAGAAGAAAGAAACCCCUUCCCAUAGGACUUAGUAAACACUCUUGUCAAUGACGGAUGCUAUCUCAUUUACUUUAAAGCAGUUAAUAGCUCCUCAGUUCCUUAGCUUAUUCAGUGUUCACUUAUAGAAAUAGUUGGGUACAAGUGAUGCAUUAUGCUAAGCACAAUAUAAAUCCAUAGCAAAAGGAGAGAUAACCGGUAGCUUAGAGAAAUUAACUGCACAAACCAGUUGUGAAGGGAGCUAAUUAAUUGAAAUUUGGGAGUAUUGUAAACAAGCCAGAAAUUUUUUUCCACAAAGGGAUAGGGAUCAAUGCACUGGAAUAUAGCUGUCUCAUUCUCCAG
rnacentral:lncRNA from 1 species